rnacentral:rRNA from 1 species
CUCAUUAAAUCAGUUAUCGUUUAUUUGAUAGUACCUUACUACUUGGAUAACCGUGGUAAUUCUAGAGCUAAUACAUGCUAAAAACCUCGACUUCGGAAGGGGUGUAUUUAUUAGAUAAAAAACCAAUGCCCUUCGGGGCUCCUUGGUGAUUCAUAAUAACUUAACGAAUCGCAUGGCCUUGUGCCGGCGAUGGUUCAUUCAAAUUUCUGCCCUAUCAACUUUCGAUGGUAGGAUAGUGGCCUACCAUGGUUUCAACGGGUAACGGGGAAUUAGGGUUCUAUUCCGGAGAGGGAGCCUGAGAAACGGCUACCACAUCCAAGGAAGGCAGCAGGCGCGCAAAUUACCCAAUCCCGACACGGGGAGGUAGUGACAAUAAAUACUGAUACAGGGCUCUUUUGGGUCUUGUAAUUGGAAUGAGUACAAUUUAAAUCCCUUAACGAGGAACAAUUGGAGGGCAAGUCUGGUGCCAGCAGCCGCGGUAAUUCCAGCUCCAAUAGCGUAUAUUAAAGUUGUUGCAGUUAAAAAGCUCGUAGUUGAACCUUGGGCCUGGCUGGCCGGUCCGCCUCACCGCGUGCACUGGUCCGGCCGGGUCUUUCCUUCUGGGGAGCCGCAUGCCCUUCACUGGGUGUGUCGGGGAACCAGGACUUUUACUUUGAAAAAAUUAGAGUGUUCAAAGCAGGCCUAUGCUCGAAUACAUUAGCAUGGAAUAAUAGAAUAGGACGUGUGGUUCUAUUUUGUUGGUUUCUAGGACCGCCGUAAUGAUUAAUAGGGAUAGUCGGGGGCAUCAGUAUUCAAUUGUCAGAGGUGAAAUUCUUGGAUUUAUUGAAGACUAACUACUGCGAAAGCAUUUGCCAAGGAUGUUUUCAUUAAUCAGUGAACGAAAGUUAGGGGAUCGAAGACGAUCAGAUACCGUCGUAGUCUUAACCAUAAACUAUGCCGACUAG